GCGUGAGGGAUGAAGGUCCUCGGAUCGUAAACCUCUGAAUCAACGACGAAAGACCACUUCGGUGGGGAUGACGGUAGUUGAGUAAUAGCACCGGCUAACUCCGUGCCAGCAGCCGCGGUAAUACGGAGGGUGCAAGCGUUACCCGGAAUCACUGGGCGUAAAGGGCGUGUAGGCGGACCGUUAAGUCUGACUUUAAAGACCGCCGCUCAACGGCGGGCGUGGGUUGGAUACUGGUGGUCUGGACCUCUGGAGAGAGAACCGGAAUUCCUGGUGUAGCGGUGGAAUGCGUAGAU
rnacentral:rRNA from 1 species